UAGGGAAUCUUCCGCAAUGGACGAAAGUCUGACGGAGCAACGCCGCGUGAGUGAAGAAGGAUUUCGGUUCGUAAAACUCUGUUGUUAGGGAAGAAAAAAUGUAUAGUAACUAUAUACAAAAGAGACGGUACCUAACCAGAAAGCCACGGCUAACUACGUGCCAGCAGCCGCGGUAAUACGUAGGUGUCAAGCGUUGUCCGGAAUUAUUGGGCGUAAAGCGCGCGCAGGUGGUUUAGAAAGUCUGAUGUGAAAGCCCACGGCUCAACCGUGGAGGGUCAUUGGAAACUAAUAAACUUGAGUGCAGGAGAGAAAAGUGGAAUUCCUAGUGUAGCGGUGAAAUGCGUAGAGAUUAGGAGGAACACCGGGGGCGAAAGCGGCUUUUUGGCCUGCAACUGACACUGAGGCGCGAAAGCGUGGGGAGCAAACAGG
rnacentral:rRNA from 1 species